GUUGAAACACCAGAUCCUAUACGAUCACUGAAGUUAAGCAACGUCGGGCAUUGUCAGAACAGAGAUGGGUGACCACUUAUGAAUUCUAGGUGCUGUACG